rnacentral:rRNA from 1 species
GAUGAACGCUGGCGGCGUGCUUAACACAUGCAAGUCGAACGGGAAAUACUUCAUUGAGACUUCGGUGGAUUUGAUUUAUUUCCAGUGGCGGACGGGUGAGUAACGCGUGGGUAACCUGCCUUAUACAGGGGGAUAACAGUCAGAAAUGACUGCUAAUACCGCAUAAGCGCACAGGACCGCAUGGUCCGGUGUGAAAAACUCCGGUGGUAUAAGAUGGACCCGCGUUGGAUUAGCUUGUUGGUGGGGUAACGGCCCACCAAGGCGACGAUCCAUAGCCGGCCUGAGAGGGUGAACGGCCACAUUGGGACUGAGACACGGACCAGACUCCUACGGGAGGCAGAAGUGGGGAAUAUUGCACAAUGGGGGAAACCCUGAUGCAGCGACGCCGCGUGAAGGAAGAAGUAUCUCGGUAUGUAAACUUCUAUCAGCAGGGAAGAUAGUGACGGUACCUGACUAAGAAGCCCCGGCUAACUACGUGCCAGCCGCCGCCGUAA